rnacentral:rRNA from 1 species
AACGUAGGACACAAGCGUUAUCCGGAGUUACUGGGCGUAAAGGGCGUGUAGGCGGACCUAUAAGUCUAUUCUGAAAGCUCCUGGCUAAACUGGGAGAGGCGAAUGGAGACUGUAGAUCUAGAGUGAGGAAGAGGAAAGUGGAAUUCCGGGUGGAGCGGUGAAAUGCGUAGAGAUCCGGAGGAACACCGACGGCGCAGGCAGCGUCCUGGCCGCUUGCUGACACUGAGGCACGAAAGCUGGGGGAGCAAACAGG